rnacentral:rRNA from 1 species
GGGUGAGUAACGCGUGAGCAACCUUUCCCAGACAGGGGAAUAACACACCGAAAGGUGUACUAAUACCGCAUAAGACCACGGGAUCACAUGGUUCUGGGGUAAAAGAUUUAUCGGUUUGGGGUGGGCUCGCGUCCGAUUAGGUAGUUGGUGAGGUAACGGCCCACCAAGCCGACGAUCGGUAGCCGACCUGAGAGGGUGAUCGGCCACAUUGGGACUGAGACACGGUCCAAACUCCUACGGGAGGCAGCAGUGGGGAAUAUUGGGCAAUGGAGGAAACUCUGACCCAGCAACGCCGCGUGGAGGAAGAAGGUUUUCGGAUCGUAAACUCCUGUCCUUGGAGACGAGUAGAAGACGGUAUCCAAGGAGGAAGCCCCGGCUAACUACGUGCCAGCAGCCGCGGUAAUACGUAGGGGGCAAGCGUUGUCCGGAAUAAUUGGGCGUAAAGGGCGCGUAGGCGGCUCGGUAAGUCUGGAGUGAAAGUCCUGCUUUUAAGGUGGGAAUUGCUUUGGAUACUGUCGGGCUUGAGUGCAGGAGAGGUUAGUGGAAUUCCCAGUGUAGCGGUGAAAUGC